rnacentral:rRNA from 1 species
UGGGGAAUUUUGGACAAUGGGGGAAACCCUGAUCCAGCCAUCCCGCGUGUGCGAUGAAGGCCUUCGGGUUGUAAAGCACUUUUGGCAGGGAAGAAACGUCAUGGGUUAAUACCCCGUGAAACUGACGGUACCUGCAGAAUAAGCACCGGCUAACUACGUGCCAGCAGCCGCGGGAAUAUGUAGGGUGCAAGCGUUAAUCGGAAUUACUGGGCGUAAAGCGUGCGCAGGCGGUUCGGAAAGAAAGAGGUGAAAUCCCAGAGCACAACUUUGGAACUGCAUUUUUUACUAACGGGAUAGAGUAUGUCAGAGGGAGGUGGAAUUCCUCGUGUAGCAGUGAAAUGCGUAGAUAUGCGGAGGAACACCGAUGGCGAAGGCAGCCUCCUGGGAUAAAACUGACGCUCAUGCACGAAAGCGUGGGGAGCAAACAGG